GCGUCAGUAGGGCAGUUGGUUGGAGCACGUGCCUCCGGAAAAGAAGAGGUAUGGGUUUGAGUCCCGCCUGACGCA